rnacentral:lncRNA from 1 species
GGGUUUCAAGCCUGGUUCCAUCUUUCUGAGUCGGGAGAAAUGUUUGACAGUGCUUUUUCAAUGCAUGCAGGUUGGACUACGUUCAGGCUCUUUAGAAGGGAAGAGAAAUGAAAUGACUCGACUGAAGGUUUGAGGGUUUAGAAGGUAGCUCGACUGAUAAGGAGAGGGAGGGCUUUAGCGGCUUACCAGUAAUAGGAGGAAGAAUGACUCACUCUGCCACUUGUGAAAUAGAAGGUCUUAUCUUCACUUUUCAACUACUCCACGACAGCUCUACUGGAAGCUUCCUU